rnacentral:tRNA from 1 species
GUGGUGAAAUUGGCAGACACGCUAGACUUAGGAUCUAGUGCUUCGGCGUGCAGGUUCAAGUCC